rnacentral:rRNA from 1 species
GACGAACGCUGGCGGCACGCUUAACACAUGCAAGUCGAACGAGAGAAGAGAAGCUUGCUUUUCUGAUCUAGUGGCGGACGGGUGAGUAACACGUGAGCAAUCUGCCUUUCAGAGGGGGAUACCGAUUGGAAACGAUCGUUAAUACCGCAUAAUAUAAUUGAACCGCAUGAUUUGAUUAUCAAAGAUUUAUCGCUGAAAGAUGAGCUCGCGUCUGAUUAGCUAGUUGGUAAGGUAACGGCUUACCAAGGCGACGAUCAGUAGCCGGACUGAGAGGUUGAUCGGCCACAUUGGGACUGAGACACGGCCCAGACUCCUACGGGAGGCGGCAGUGGGGAAUAUUGCACAAUGGAGGAUACUCUGAUGCAGCGAUGCCGCGUGAGGGAAGAAGGUUUUAGGAUUGUAAACCUCUGUCUUCAGGGACGAAAAAAGACGGUACCUGAGGAGGAAGCUCCGGCUAACUACGUGCCAGCAGCCGCGGUAAUACGUAGGGAGCGAGCGUUGUCCGGAAUUACUGGGUGUAAAGGGAGCGUAGGCGGGAUCGCAAGUCAGAUGUGAAAACUAUGGGCUUAACCCAUAAACUGCAUUUGAAACUGUGGUUCUUGAGUGAAGUAGAGGUAAGCGGAAUUCCUAGUGUAGCGGUGAAAUGCGUAGAUAUUAGGAGGAACAUCAGUGGCGAAGGCGGCUUACUGGGCUUUAACUGACGCUGAGGCUCGAAAGCGUGGGGAGCAAACAGGAUUAGAUACCCUGGUAGUCCACGCCGUAAACG